rnacentral:rRNA from 1 species
AGGACGAACGCUGGCGGCGUGCUUAACACAUGCAAGUCGAGCGGAAAGGCCCUUCGGGGUACUCGAGCGGCGAACGGGUGAGUAACACGUGAGUAAUCUGCCCCUAGCUCUGGGAUAGCUCCGGGAAAACCGGGAUUAAUACCAGAUAUUACCACUUUAGACAUCUCUUGUGGUGGAAAGAAUUUCGGCUAGGGAUGAACUCGCGGCCUAUCAGCUUGUUGGUGAGGUAACGGCUCACCAAGGCGACGACGGGGUA